GGUUAUGGCUCAGUGGUAGAGUGCUCGCCUCGCACAUGCAAGGCCCUGGGUUCGAUCCUCAGUACCA
rnacentral:tRNA from 1 species